GUCUCGCCAUCCAAGGAUAAAAAAGUUUAAUUUUCAGCCCAACACGAGGAGUCACCGUCUGAUUUCUCUUACCAAAUCCAACACUCCUGCAAACACCUCUUCUCUUCAUACCUCUGCUCUUUCACUCCGUCGCUCUGUCCAUUGUUAUUUUCUGGUUUACCAAAUAGGCCGUACAACAAUGAUUUUCUUCUUAUAUAUCAAUCGCUCUCGAACUGCUUCCAAUCAGUUUCCCUGGUGUACAAUGGCGAAGGGAUGUACUGCAAGUUCCUGAGAGUUUGUCUGAAAAAGAAGGGUUGAAACUAAUGGCUAAGGCUGAAGACAAUGAGGAUAACUUAAAAGACCAAAAUCGUGUGAAGUACUUCCUUGCUCCUUAAUGAUUUUUAGAGUUUCUUUAAUAUGUGAAUCGUUCAAUUAGUCGAGUGGCUUAGUGCAGAAAGCUAAUCCUUGAAAUUCAUCUGACCAAUUAAUUUUAAUACGUUACAGCAAGCCAACAAGCACCAGUAGUAUAGGACGGGAAAUUAUAGCAUCACUUAGACAACAUCAUCGCCAUUUACUUGCGAAGAAUGGCAACGCUCAAUCGCUUAAAUCUCCUGCAAGUUACUGUAGCUCAAUGGAGUUUAAUUUUGUAGUAUGUAAUGCAACUCCGGCAAAGCUUUGACAGACCUCAGUCCUCAAGUCUCAGAUCUAAAAAUAUUUUUUGGUUUCUCACAUCAGAUCUGGGGAAGAAAACGAAGGAGGUGGAGAGUUUUGCGAAGACAAAGUGUGGGGGGUCGUCGGGAAGAUGACAGAAGGAGGGGAUCAUCGGAGAAGAUGCAAAGGGGUGGGGGGCUAGUUCUUUUUUAUUUUAUUUUAAUUUAUUUAAGUGAAAUCCAUGUGGAAUUGUCUUGUUCAUCACUGGAGAAUUUUAAUUUAUAUGGUUAAAGUGUUCAAAUGGAGUGGACUUAAGAUAGAGUGCGCAGGUGAAAAGUAAGGAGGGACUGCCAAUGUAUUUGGCCUUUUAAAAACUUUGUGAAUUUCGGUUAUUUUAAAAUAGGAACCUAAAAACGGCUACUUUUGCA